rnacentral:rRNA from 1 species
UACAGAGGUCCCAAGCGUUGUUCGGAUUCAUUGGGCGUAAAGCGUGUGUAGGCGGGCCCGUAAGUACCUUGUGAAAUCCCACCGCUCAACGGUGGAACUGCUCGGUAUACUGCGGGUCUUGAGCCACCUAGGGGCAGCCGGAACAAGCGGUGGAGCGGUGAAAUGCGUAGAUAUCGCUUGGAACGCCAACGGUGAAAACAGACUGCUGGGGGUGUGCUGACGCUGAGACACGAAAGCCAGGGGAGCGAACGGG